GUGACAUACAAUACGAUCCUCUCUUGCAAGGCCAGCAGUGGCAAAGAGCUGCAGUUCCAAAUCAGCCAUGUGACUUCCAGGGCGACCAGCUGGUACCCUAAGGAUUGGUAUGAAGAUUGGAGACCAUGUGUCUGACAUGCCUGCUCCUGUGUGUGGUCCAUGGGAGGAGCACCAUAACCAAGAGUGAUUGUGAACACAUGGAGCCACAUUUAAGAGACAGAAAGAGAAAAAAUUACUGUCCAGCUGCAAUUUUUCAUUUGGCAGGCGGCCAGCCAUUUUCUCAGAAUUUGACAGAAUAUGAUCUCUCAUUUAACUGGCUUUCUAAUGCUACCCCUGGGCAAGACUGAAAUGAAUCAGACCCUGGUGCAAUCAUUAUCUUGGCUGAAGAUCCACACCUACCGUUCUUCCUACAGACUGUUCCGUGUGGCCACAGUGGACUCCGAGAAAAACAACCAGAAGACAAUGCACUUGCCAAGCUGAAAUAGGGCUCAUUGCUGUUUCCAACAGGACUGCCUCUCUUCUGCCUUUGAACAAUUCUCUACAGUCAUUAGUCAUUCAUCCAUUCAGUAAAUAAUUAAGCACCUGGCAUGGCGCAUAAUGCAAAUAGUAUAGUCUAUGGUCUGUUCCCUCAGGGAACUUACAAUUUAGUAGAAAAGAUCUCAUGUAGUAGUGCAUAAGUGGAUGACAAAUAGUAAGAGGAGGGUUUGAGAGAGGGGGAAGGGAGCGUUGCCAUGAGUGUGUCCUUUCAUGGAGCAGGUAGAAUGGUUUGGAUGGGGAAUUGAAAGAGUAGGGUAAGCAGAGAUGGAGAUGACAGGGGGUGUGGGUGUGUAUUCUAAACCUGAGUGAUGGGAAGAAUAAGAAUGAUGUGUUCUAUAAUUGCUUUUAAAAUUGAAUCGAGAUAAGUAUCAUUUGGAGUAACACAGUAACCAUCCAACAGCUUGAGUCCUUUGGAGAUGCUGCCUAGGAGAUGGAGUAGGAAGCUUGUGCAAUAUCCAGGCCAGAAAGAGGGUGUUUUAGGUGAAGUUGGUAGCAAUGGAGAUAAUGAGAAAGGGCAGGAUUCUAGACAUAUUUAGAUUUUCCAGUCUCAUGUUAGUUUCAAUAUAUGAUGCCUUCUUAGAAGAUCCCUGAUCUGUAGUUUUGGAAAAAAAAAUACCACUUAGGGCUGCUCUCUGUGUCCUCAGAUACCUCUGCCAUGGAACACUGCCCUUUGAGUCAUGGCUGUGCACCAUUUGCUGCUGUCUUCAAGUUGGGUCACAGAGCCACAGAAUGAGAGGCCUGGUGCUUAGGGAGUCUCUGGUCUAAACCUACAUUUUGUGGGUCAGAAAACUGAGGCUUAUAGAGAGGUGAACUGGUUUGUCUAAGAUCUGACGGGUGAUUUGUAGUAGAGUAGCACUAGAGGCAGGUGUCCUAAUGCAGAGUCCAGCGGUCUUCCUACAUCACCGACCCCUUCCUCAUAAAGAAGCCAAGACGUGCUUCUCCCUGUGGCAAAGAUCAGCUAGCGAACUCAUUGACUCUGGGUCCAGUUAGUCUACAUUUCCCAGUUUUGGCUGAGUUCUAUACCAUGGGAUGUAGGUGGAAGUGUGAACACCAACUGUCGAGCCUGGCCCAUAGACAUUUCUCUACUCAAGCUCAGCCUCUUUUCCAUUUGCUAACUAGACACUGAUGUCCAACGCAACCUUGGAAGUAAGAUAUUGAAGAUGGCAGAGCAUCCACUACCGAGCAUAGUGAAUCUUGAAUGGGAGCACUUGGAGGAGCACUGAACCCAAAUCUGCUGGAAAUGACACCAAAGGUAGAACCCAAGAAAGGAAGCAGAGCGUGAGGUAGGAAUGUCUUGGCAGCUAGGACAAGUAAACAAAGGGGACCUCCAGGGAACUGGAAGAGAUGCAGGAUUACUGGAAUGCAAGAAGCAGGGUGGUGCAGACACCAGAUUAGGAAGCCAGAUGGUGGUGCAUAUAUUGAGAAAUUUGGAUCAACCCGAGGGACCUUAGGAACACUUGGAAGGAUUUUGAGGAGGGGAGUAAUGUAAUCAGAAUUUUAGAAAAAAAUCAUCACUGUGCCUGCCUGGAAGAACUGAUUGGAGUGGAUAGGAGUGGAGGAUAGGAGACAGAUUUAGCAGCUGUCUAAAUGUGUGCUUUUGCCUAGAAUGCUCAGUCACCAGGUGGAAGAUGUUUGGAUUUGUCUAGGGUCAUAGACAAUGUAAAGGGUACAUCAGAAGGCUAAAGGACAUGAGACCUAUCAACCCUUACUGUUCUGUCUUCUGGAACUCCAGUUCUCUCAGCACAAAUUCCCCUAUAUCAGGGGUUUGCAAACUCUAGCCCAUGGGGCAAUGGAUGCUGUCUGAUGCCUGUUUUUCCAUGGCUCACAAGAAAAAAUUAGAAGAGAAUGAUUUUUCACCUUAUGAUAAUUAUACAAAAUUCAAGAUUUGUGUCUAUAAAUAAGGUUUCAUUGAAACAUAGCCACAUUCACUUGUUUUUAUGUGGUUUAUGGACCUUAAAUUCCUCAUGCUUCAGUGACAGAGUUGAGUGAUUGUGACUGUGAAUGUUUUAAGUUCUUAUACCUAAGAUCCAGUCUGAUUUAACAGGACUGGGGGGUGUAGCUUGAGCUGGAUUUUGUAAUACUUCUCUAGUGAUUCUACUCUGUAUCCAAGUCUGAGAACCCCUGAAUAGCAGAAGCCUAGCUGUCCCUGAGGGCAUCUUUUCAAUAGACACUGUUUGUUUCACAUCCUACACUCCUCAGAGCAGGAUGUAGAUUAGCAUCUGUCUGGCUUCUAGGCCAUUAAUUCCUUUCCCUGUUGCAAAAAAUAUUGUGUUUGAGGCUUAGCCAUCUGGCUCUGUACUCUGUCCCUAUAGUGGUUUUUGUGGGUGGAUUUCUCCACCUCCAUUAUUCACUUAUCUUACUACCUGGAUCACUGUCUAAUUCCUGAUAAAAUUCUUGAUUUCAUCAUCCACAUUGCUGAACCAUUCAAUGCUUGAGAACUUAAGUAGUUAAACCUACUCAUCUUUAAUGAUUAUUUUCUUUCUUCCUUCUCAACUGCAAAAUUUCAUGGUCUUGCCUUGGAGUCUGCCAUCCCCAGGAGCUGCCAUCAUGUAUGAAAUCUCAACUUGAAACUUGUGACUCUCCAACCUUAUUAAUUCCAUCCUUGCAGCUAAUUUGCUGAACGUGCCAAUGAAAUCAUCAAUACACUGAUCCUUCCUGCCUCCCCUUCCCCUUUGAUUGCUUAUUCUCAGUCAACCUCUGGUUUCUCAGCCUAUUUUUACCUGCCAGGAUUCCAUGCUUAUCUGUAUAGUCAUUGCUCUACAACUUAGAGAUGAUAAUGACAGGACAAUGACCUUAUAGAGUAGUUAUGAGAAUGAAAAGUGUUAAUUUGUUUAGAGUAUAUGUGACAGUACUUGACCUACAUAAAGAAACUCAGUUGUUACCUGAAUGUUGGUGGAGAAAAGCAUACUUGCAAGCUGACUAGUUUUACUUGAACUUGUGAUCAUGAACCUUAAGUGAGCAUUCCAUUCUGCCAGUGAUCCUACUGUGGUUCAUUGAUAGAUUAGCUUUCCUAAUCUCGAGAGGACUCUUCCACACCACCUAUUUUCUCAAAACUCUCACUCAUUCCUCCUCAUUUCUAGGCAAUGACAUUAAAGCAGGAGGUUUUAGAAAGUUCACAGAAAAUAGAAUUAAAAGGUAAGUUUAUUCUGGUGCAAAAAAUAUUUGUAGUCCAGGUGUAGUGUUCUCAUAAUUCACACUUCCCAUAAACUUUUUGAAGAGCCUUCAUAUAUCUAGAAUAAAAUCUAAAAUAUGGUUCUUGUGAUGUGUCUAUAUUCCCAUAACUUUCUAAACAUUCUUUUAAAAUAUUUAUUUUAUUUAUUUGAAAGGCAGAGUGAGAGAGAGAGAGAGAGAGAGAGGGAGGGAGGGAGAGUGGAGAAAAAGAGAGAGCAGUAUCUUCCAUUCACUGUUUCAUUCCUCAAGUGGCCCCAGUGUUUGGGGCUGGGCCAGGCUGAAGCCAGUAGCCUGAAACUCCAACCAGGUCUCCCACAUAGGUGGCAGGGCCCAAGGACUUGGACCAUCUUUUGCUACAUUCCCAGGCCUAUUAGCAGGAUACUAUGUUAGAAGUAGAGCCCUGGGACCCAAACUGGUGCUCAUUUGGAUGUCUGCAUUACAGGUGGCUACUUAACACACUGCACCACAGUGCUGGCUCCUUUUGUAACUUACUGUAUGCAGCUUUCUUCCUCAGUCUCUGAACUUGGGCCACAUAAGUCUACUUUCACUUCCCAGGCUUUCUGUCACUAAGGGCUUUUGCAUGUGUACUUUCCUCUGCCUGGAACACUUUUCCCCCACUCAUUUCAUGGCAUUUAUUCAGUAUUUUGGGGGUGAGUCAACUUCAAAUAGCAUUGUCUUAGAUUACUCUUUCUCUUUACUCUAUCAGUUUGCUAUUGUUGCCAUAACAAAUCGCCACAAAAUUAAGUUUUAAAGGAUACAGACUAAUGAUUUUAGAGUUCUGGAGCUCAGAAGUUUGAAAUCAAGGUGUUGGAAGGGAAGAAUUCUUUCUGGAGGCUCUAAGGAAGGAUGUGUUUCCCUUCCUUUUCCAGCUCUGGAGGCUGCCUAAGUUCCUUGACUCGUGGUUGCUUCCCCUUAUCUGCAGAGCUGAUAACAGUAGGUCACGUCCAUCUCAUGCUGCCAUCUUUUUGACUCUCCUUUUCAAUUUUCUCUUCUACUUUAAAGACCCUUGUGAUUACACUAGGGCCACCCAGAUGACCCAGAAGAAUCUCCCUCUUUUUUGGUUACCUGUUAGGAGCAUUAAUGCUAUCUCAACUUUAAUUCCCCUUUGCUCUGUAACCCAUAUAUUCACAGGUUCUAGGGACUGAGAUAUAGACAGACAUUUUGGGGUACACUGCUCUGCAUACUACACUGUCUAAAAUGUGUCUCCUGGAUAUGCUUUUGCUUAGCUCUUAUUUGCUUUCAUGGCCCUAAUCACAGAUCUGAAUUUAUUUAUUUAUUUUUUCGCUUUUCUUUUUCUGUCCCUGAUCAGAAUGAUGGAAAUCUAUGAUAAGGGCAGAAAUCUGUCUUUUUUGUCUUUGUGUCCUUAACAAAUAGAAGAAACGCAAACAAAUGUUGGUUGAGAUAGCUGAUGAAUGAAUAGAGGAAGAGUUAUUGAAAGGCUGGGUUAUGGAAUUUCACUUGGAAGUGGAUGAAGAGGAAACCUUGAGGAGGUGAUGUGGACCCAGUCAUCAGAGGAGCAGGAAAGGAAAGCAGCUGGGAAGAAGCGAAACUGCGGACUGACAGUAGAAGGUUGGAAUGUGUAACAUCACUGGUGGAACUCACUAAGGGCAAUUAAAAGUUUUAUCUAUUUAUCUGUACUUAUUUGAAAGCGGGGAGGAGAGAGAGUUACAGAGGUUGUUGGUUUGAGCCUUAAAGGAUAUUUCCUCCCAACACUCCCUUCUAGUACCUUAAUGGAUGCCAAAAUUAGUACAAACAAGUAGGUUGCAAACAAAGGACAUAUGAACCACUUGGCAUUGUUUAUUGGGCCAAGAUGGGGUAAAAGGAAGUGAGACUUCCUCCAUCUCUUUACUUUGGGUGGUAAAUAUAGUUCAUGCUAUUAAGUGAUUAAAGAGCUGCCUGAGUUACCGGCACUGUUCUCUUGGGACUGCAUCCCUUUGAGGAUGUCGGGCUGAUGGAAUGGGUGAGACAGCUGCACUACAGACCCAAGCGAGGAAGAUGAUAAAUGUCCAGUCUGGGGGCAGUGUGGUUUCUUCUGACAACUCUUCUGAGAAGCUCAUAUUUCACAAUUCUCACCACAAAGCAUGGAAUGAAAAUUGAAGCUUUUAUGUGACCAUGAUGAAAGAAUCUUUUACUGUUUGUUAACUCUACACGGUUGGGCAUGCUGAAAAUGAAAUAGAGAUAGAUUUGACAGUUGCUUGCUUACAGUAUCACUAAUGCACACCUUGGGAGCUGGAGUUACAGCUUUGCCAGGGUUCUGGCUGGUCAGAAUACUGGGGAGGAGAGGAAUCUAGACAGCUGAGACUGGGACAUCUGUGGGAAUCCUGGUCACCUGGAGAAUCUGUCUCCACACUGCUCUAGGAUAUACUCUACUACCAUUUCCUUAUGUGAGAAAAUGGGCAAGUCUCACUCCUCUCUAGUAAAAUCAUGGGAUUAAAUUCUAGCAAGAGACAUGUAAGUGAAUGGUAUAGUUUCCAGUAAUGCAUUUUCCAGUUUAUUUCACUUUGCUCAUUCUUUCUUGGUGUAAGUUUUUCUUUUAUUUAUUUUGAAAGUCAGAGUUAUUGGGGGGGGGCGGAGACACACACACACACACACACACACACAGAUCUUCUAUUGAUUGGUUCUUUCCCCAGAUGGUCUCAACAGAUAGCACUGGGCCAGGCCAAAGCCAGGAGCCAGGAGUUUCAUCCAGGUCUCCCAUGAAGUUGGCAAAAGGCCCAGACACUUGGGCCAUCUUCUGUUGGAUCAUCAGGAGCUAUGGGACAUGAUGAAGCACUAAGGUAAUAGAAUCUGGGUUGGUAAUGCCAUGGACUGUCCUGCCAGCCCUGGCUACCUUCCUGGGCACUUACAUGAGAGAAACACACUCCUGGCUUGCUUAAUCCACUGUUAUUUGAGAUGUUUGUGAUUCUCAGCUGCCUAUUCUUAUUCUUCAUGUUUGUUGACCCAGUGAGGGGAAGAAGAAUCUAGAGUUUUUCUAGUAACCUGCCUUAUGAAUUCUGAUUCCUGUUUCUAUGACACUGGCUUCUAAUGGUUUAGAGGUUUGGAUACCUAGAAGUGAUAUUCUUUCAUCAGGAACAGGAAUGGGUCCACUGAUUAGGAAGCUGGCCACGUGAGGUUCCUUGUACCAAUUGUAGACAGGAAAAGGUGGUUUUUGCAGUUACCUAUGGUGAUGUACAUUGAUUAUCAAAGAGAAGAGAAGUGGCUGCUACAUGAAAAAAAAAAUGGGCACAAUCAGAGGAGAGCUGUACUGUCCCAUUCAGGUGAUCAGUGUGUCAUUGCUGAUCUUCCUAUGGGAAAGCCUGUCAAGGGCUCAGACCUCUUGGAAGAGUCUCUGCUCCUGUCGUGACAGGGCCUCAACUGGUUUUGUCAGAGGUUCUGGUCAAAGGUCAGAGGAACAUGGAAUGAAUCUUAGAGGUGAUGAUGAAUUGUAAGCACCAGCUAUAGUUUUAUCGCCAGCUAGAGAAACGAGCUAUAACCUCUACUUCAUCUUCUUGCUAGCUACACACUAUGAACAAGUUUUCCUUUUAUUUGUUCUUUUCUUGUCAGGUUACUUGAGACGGUUCAUCAUUUAAACAUAUUUAUUUAUUUAUUUUUCAGGCAGAGAGACACACAGACCAAGAUACAGACUGAGAGACAGAGAUCCCAUCCUCUGGUUUAUUCUCCAAAUGUGUUUAACAGUCAGGGCUGGGGUGGGGCUGAAGCUGGGAGCUAGGAACACAAUCCAGGUCCCAACAUGGGUUGCAGGAACCCAACUACUUGAGCCAUCACCACUGCCUCUCAAAUUCUGCAUUAGCAGGAAUCUGCAGAGUCAGAGCUGGGAAUUUAACCCAGGCAGUCUGAUAAGAGACAUGGGUGCAUUAACCAUGAGACUAAACAUCUUGUCCUAUGUUUAUCACUCAAUCCAUGUUUAUGAACCCUGGAGUUAUGAUCAUGAUGGAAUUUUUAAGGUGUUUAUUUUUACCUGCCUAUUAUAUUUUCCCAACCCCAUUUCUAGCCCUUCUUCUGGUAAAAGAGGCUGUACCCCUUACUCCAUUCCAGUCUGGGCUUUCAAAUAGCCUCACAUGCCCUGGCUUCAGGGAUAAGUUGGCUCAAUUGCAUUCUUCCUCCUGGAACUUCUAACCUUGAGCCAAGGGUGGGAGGCUAGAAGGCUGCCAGAGCUGAAUCACCCCAUGGCAAUGCCCUUGAGCAAGGGUCUGUUUGUUUCUGCUAUUGGGAUAUCUAGUACUUUAAUGGUUCGUGUUUUUCAUAGCCCUAAUAUUUCAUUCUUGCCAUUUUGUAAAUGAUCUAAGGCUCUACUUUUUUAUUUAUGUGUGUAUUAACCAGUAUGAUUUUCUACUGCUUGCAACAGCAAAAUAAUAAUACAGGAUUCAUAAAAUACAAAGUGAAUGUGUUUUAAACUCCAUCCCUUGAAAUUCAGAUCCGCCCACUUUGUGACUGUCUAACUGGUAGAGGCAGUACUAAGCCCCACAGCUUUUGAGGCAUUGUUCAUUCCUCUCUUAACUAGUUUAUGCUGUGCUCAAACUGCUCCCUCUAAUGAAAACACGGGUGCUUUGCCUUUUUCCUCACAGCAUGAUGAGUGUAAACAUGAUGGUAUAGGCUGGGAAAACGUGAGAAGUCUGUCCACAUUGGUCUUGGAGGCAACAGGGCAAAACAUGGACAACAAACAAACAACCAUUCCUGCAAGUAUUGACUAAGACAGAACAAACUGUUCCCCAAAUGUAUGAGGUAAAACAAGGCAAAUUCUGAGAAUUAAGUUGACAGGCAUAUACAGAAGUGUAAUUUUUUUCUUAAUUAAACUGACAAAGAUCUCCAGUUCCACAUAAAUCAACGGAAAGCUACAGACCUACAGUGCUAAAAGGAAAGACGUUAUGAGUUGCUGAAAGGAGAAUGCAAGAGAAAAAAUGUAAUGAAGUAACCCACGCUUUGCUGACUUGAUUUCCUUGGGGUAGGUGGUGGUUGGGCUGAGUAGGGGAUGGGUGAAGACAAACAGUGGAUUCUACAAGUUAAUUUCCAGGGUCAUCCUUGGCAGGAGGUAGGAGAGGCAGAUACAAUGGUUCCCUUCUUCCGUAUUUUUUCCCUCCCUCUCUUCUUCCCUCCCUCCUUCCCUCCCUCCCUCCCUCCCUCCCUCCCUUCCUUCCUUCCUUCCUUCCUUCCUUCCUUCCUUCCUUCCUUCCUUCUCUCAAGAUUUAUUUAUUUAUUUUGAAAGUCAGAGUUGCAGAGAGAGAGAGGGACAGAGAGCAAUCUUCCAUCCUCUAUUUCACUCCCUAGAUGGUUGCAGUAGUCCAUGCUGGGCCACACUGAAGCCAGAGGGCAAGCAUUUCUUUUGGGUCUCCCACAUGGGUGUCAGGGACCCAGACGUUUGGGCCAUCUUCUGCUGCUUUUGCUAGGUCAUUAGGAGGGAGCUUGAAUGGAAGUAGAGCAGCCAGGACUCGAACCGGCACUUAUAUGGGAUGCUGGUGUCACAGGUGGCAGCUUUACCUGUUAUGCUACAACACUGCUUCUGUCUUUUUUAAAACUAUAUAUAAUAUGCAUAUAUAUAUAUUUAUUUGGGAGGGAGGGAUAGUGAGAGGAAAGAAGGGAGAGUGAGGGAGGGAGAGAUAGAGAUUCCACUUUGGUUAGCUGGUUCACUCUCCAAAUGCCCACAACAUCUGGGGCUGGGCCAAGGCUGGGAGCCGGGAGCCAGGAGCCAGGAAUGCAAUCCACGUCUCCCAUGUGAGUGAUAGGAACUCAAUUACUGAGUAUUACCUCUGUCUUCCCCUGGUAUCUUCUUCCAUCUCUCAAAUGAAAGGAAUAUGAAAUUAAAAUAGAGAUUUAGGACAAUGGAGAGCUGACCCCACUGUGCGAGGAGAGGCUGGGCUGUGAAGGGACUUGGAUGACGUUUCCACCUGUGUCCUCCCAUUCCUCCUCUGGAGGGGGAUCCCAAGAGUGCUUAAACUCCUCCUCUUUGCAUACUGUCACCCACUUUCCCCUAUGGCUUGAUUCUUAGGGGAUACUCCUAAUGAAUUCUCUUCUUGGCUCUGUUGAUGCAUUGCACAAAUACAACCAUUCUCCUUCUAGUUCAUUGCACUACAUAAAAGAAAAGGUUUAAUUUUUUUUUUUUUUUUGGACAGGCCUCCUUCACUUACGUAAGUCCUUGCCAGUCAGUAAUGACCCUGUUUCUCAAUGAGUUAAUGAAGGCAUCAGAAUCCUUCUGAACACAACUUCUACAGUAGCCCUGCUAGUCAUUCACAGCUGGCCCAUGGAGCAAAAUCUGUUGGCCCUCUUUGAAUUAGUUAGGAGGAUAAGCUUAGGAGGCAGAUGGAUGAGAGUUUACAGACUCCUUGCCUGCUGUGUGUCGUGAGCGCCACUUGUCAUGCAGCUCAACAAGGCUAGUGCGAUGUGUUGGAGCACGGGCAAGAAUCACACAGAAUUGUGAUAGUCUUUUUAAUAUAAUUUAUUAUUUAAUAAUCAAUACCACUCAAUAUAUAUAUAUUCAAUGCACACACCUAAAGGUCAAUUCCACUCAAUAUGUCAUUAGUCCACGGUCAUAACACACAUCUAGGAGUAAGGCAAUUUUCAGAAAUAUCCUGCAAUGGUAAUACGUAUAACACAUACAGAGCAUAAAAGCAUAACCAAUCUAAACACUCAUGACUAAGGAUGUAAUAAGAAUGCUGUGUUCUCAAGACUUGUAUCACAGUCAUGAAAAGUCAAAGUCCAAAGUCUAGAGUCCAAAGUCUCCGUUACCACUCGGAGAGACGGAUCUCAGAACAGUCACUUACAGGCAGGAGUGGUGGGAUGCCUGGCACUUUAGGCAGUAGGCUUGAAGUUCCAAGAUGGAUGGCAGGGUGAAGGGUUGGAGAGGUCACCUGAUGAGAGGUCUGGUCCAGCUCUGAUGUCAGGUCCGGCAGCAGCUGGGACGUCCAGGCGAGGUCAGUCCGUGGAGACUCGGGCAGAGCUGCACUUGCACUGAGCCAUGGUUCCUGAGGGGAUGAAGAGCAGUUGUGAGGCUUGCCCUUUUAUUCUCUCUGGGGUAGGUGGGCGGUCAAGGUGCCCUGGGGUGUCACCAAUCACAAACUCAUUUUUUCAGGUAUCACCAACCAGAUGUUGGUGUCUGGGUGUGACCAGUGGUGUCUGAGGGGUCUUCUGGGUGUUGCUAACUGUGGUGUAGUAGUAGCCAGCUGUUUUGCUUCUUCUUAUGAUGUAAUGUCCCCCAGUCCUUAUCAGGCCUCACCACCCGUGAGAUAGAUGCUCUAGGCAGUUUCUGGUGCUUAGUGGCCUUAGCUUAAGUAACCCCAUUUUGGUUCUGCUUAGCUUAAGCAACUCCAUUUUGGUUCUGCUUAGCUUAAGUAACUCCAUUUUGGUUUUGCUUUUUCUCUUUGUUUUUGGAUUAGCAGUGCUCUGUAACUCUUUUGGGACUCCUGUGGGAUUCCCUACACUGUGUAACCUUGAACAUGUAUUAAAUUGCUUUGUGCCAAACUGGUAAAAAUGGGGCAUAGUUUUUGCUAAACUGUUCGUGAGAUCAGGUAGGCAGGACACACAACUGUGGAUGCAAGUUAUUGUCAUGAAGUUAGUUUGAACUCAAAAGAUCCCUGGAAAUAGGAGGUGAGGCAUACCACGCAGGGGCAAAUGGGGAUGAACCAUCAGGGUGGGUCAGGAAGCAGAAGGAGGGAGAGAGGAAGGUGCGGGCUGGAGCCCUCCUUGUGGUUUCCCUGGGAUGCAGUGAGUGAGUUUGGGGAGCAGGCUGGCCAGGUUUGGCACUUGCUGUUUUGAAUAAUUAUCAUGUGCUCCAAGGUGUGGGGGGGUGCCCCUGGUUAUCUGAUACCUGGCUUUGGUGUGACUAGGGCAGAGCAAUGCCACCUCCUGAAUAUAUAAGAUAGACAGGGAGCUAGUUCAGCGUGGGCUCCGCAUGGGUGGGUUUGCACAUCAGAGGCUAUGUACAGUGAGUCAUUUACUAUCUGUGGAAUAAGCCAGCCCUGGGAAGGGUAGCCUCUUGGGAUUAGCAAGGUCCUCAAAUGUCAAAGUGUCAUAAAAUACAGAAAGUCGAAAUGAAGUUGGAUGAGUGCAGUUGUCUUACAGUGCAAGGGAACACAGUGCAGCUGGAUCACAUUUUGAGCUAUUGGGUUGAUGUUUCCUCCUACUUCUCUGUCCUCUAUGCUGCCUCCCCCCGUUGAAGCACAAGGCGGUGGCCUGCAGAAGUUCUUCAGUUUUUGUUUCUCAAAGCCCAGACCUGUCUGAGAAGUCUCCCGGAGGAGGUGGAAGAGAGCACUGUGGAAGAGGCAGAGUAGCCUUCCUCAGACCGAAGGGAGAGGGCCCAGGUUUCUUGAGAAGUUCUGCUUGUCUCUGGGCAGCUCUUGUCCCCAUGCAGCUCUGGACGGUCCUUGCAUUGUCACUGCAACCCAGGCCUUGCUCAGGGUGCCUCUGCAGAUGAGGGAUCCAACGCCCUGGGUCUGCAAGGCCAAGCCAGGGGGGACAGUGGACGUGCGUGUGUGAACCCAUGUGCAUGAUGACCCAGGCUGGUGGGCCCUAGGACCCUGGGGCUGUGCACCACCUCUAGGAGGAGCCAAACCCAGAAGAGGGCUGAGGUGAAAGGGUCCUCAGCCCGGUAGGGCAGGAACUCCAAGUGAAGAUUAUAUGAAUUUAUAGGAAAUGAAGGGGUGCACAGUUUCCUGCAGCCUUGAAGCUGGACUGAGAGUCAUACGUGCUCCAACUGUACCUACAACAAUGCUGGACACACUGUGAAUGCCUUAAAGCACAGAUAUAUUUUUCCUUGGGAAAGUUAAAGGUAUCUUUUAAAAAGUUAAAAAAAAAAAUCCCUUACCAUGUGCAUUACUGACCCAGUGGAACUCUUCAGACACAGUACUCCGUCUCUGCCAUCACCCUGCCCAAGCCCAUCCUCCACUCUCUCCUGCCACAGUCUGUGUUGCAGGAAGCUGCCUGGCCAGAUGCCUUUUGCUGGCCAGUUUCUCACCAGGGCUGACCACAGUGAGUCACCAGCAGGAGCUGGGAAGUGGGAGAGGACAAACUGAGGCGCUCUUUCUAGCUUCCUCCCUGCAAGGCUCCAAGGGCGUGGGCCUGGCUGCAUGCUUGGGGGAGUACAGCUCCUGCCCGCUUAUUUCCCCUUCCUUGAGUCUUAGAGGAGCCAUGCCUCCCUCCUGCCCAUU